GCGCGCGGCAGGAAGGCUGGCGAGGGGCUGCGCGGGGGCGGACGUAGCCGGCACAUGUUCUUCCCGGCGUCCACUUCCGGCCUGCCGGCCGGCAAGCCUACACCGCGUUGUUCGCCGGCUGCGUGGCCGCGGAACCGGUCCGCGUGGCCUGCCCAAAGCUGUAAUCUCCUUGCCGUGACCUUGAGGUUUUCGAGUCUCACCAUGCAACUGCUGGCCUGGUGAUUACCAUGUAGAGCAACUCACGGAGAUCAGCCUGCCCCUGCCUCCCAAUUACUGGAUUAAAGACAAGUACCACCACA